rnacentral:lncRNA from 1 species
UUUUAUUUGUUCCUGCUCUCUCCUUUUGCAUAAUUAUUUCCUCAGGGCAAGGGCCACAUGGCUAAUAGCACCAGUGUGCAGUUGAGUCAUAAAUACAGUAGAUAAAACAUACAGUGUCACCUUGGCCAGCUUCCCCUCUGGUAGUAGAAGUACCACUCGUACCCACAGGGCUGACCCUGCCUCCAGAUCAGCAGUUUAUCUGUUUCCCAGUUAAAGAUCACUCCGAAUUGCCAUCCGGGCUGCAAAUGUUAAAAGGGGCAAUAAAUAUUAAUAUCCUGGCUGCUUGUCAGCCUGCCUAGGCAGGGACUUAGGCUGGCCCCCACUCAGGCAGAGCAGAAACCCGGUGUUGUCCUUUCUCCUGCCCACCCAGCCCCCACAGGGGUGCGGCUGUUGGCUGUGCAGCACUUUGCACCGAGUCUUUGCGCUAAUAAGAGAGCUUAACCAGUUUUUCAAACUUACGCCACUGCUUGCAGAUCACCUUCCUGCUUCUGACUGUGCUACAUAAGAUAUUGUUGUUUCGCGUUACCACUUUUCAGGCUGUCUCCAAGUUGCUACUGUGGAGGAUUAAAUGAGUUUCUAUAACUACAUGGUGCACAUAAGCAGUGCAGAAGCCUUCAUAGUUGUGGUGGUGUUGGUUGCGGUUGUUAUGGUGAUGUUUGCUGUUGCUGUUGAUAUUGUUGCUGUUGCUGUUGCGGUUGUUGUUUUGUCAAGGGCCUGAAUGGUGAGCAAGGCUGUUUAUCCAAUCCCCCUCGCGAUUCCUGUCCAGGGAGGCUGCCCCUCUCCUUUCUUGGACUGUUGGGCUCCUGUCAGGAGGCACCCACAUUUCCCUCAACUUGCCCCUAAGGUGAGCAGUUCCCAAGGCAUACUUUUCAGAGUAUUUAUCAAGCUGUGGCCACCUGAGGGCAUGUGAGCUGUCACCUCCCCUUUUCCCUUUGGAAGACAGGCAGUCUGGCUGCCGCCCUCUUUGGUCAGCCUGUCUCACUGGCAGGGAAUCAUGGGAAUUUCCGCAGUUUUCUGUGUGGAAGUUUGCCAGCUUCAGUGUUUGUCCAACUCCCUACACAGGACAAAGACAACGGGGCUCUGCUGGAGCAGAAGCCUGGGCUCGAAGGCACCUCACUUGGAUCCAUGUUUGCUAUUGGGAAAGAGAAAACUGCUGGUGAUUUUUCAUACCACGUCUCCUGCCUCCUUUUGAAGUCAAGGAAAGAUACAAUGGUGAGCAUGCUGGUUUACCAUCACUGCUGAACACUUUAGCCUGCUGCCAAGUGACAGCUUCUCCUCAGGAACAUACGUCAUCUUCACUCUAGGCGGACGUCUCGCUCCCCAAGUAGAAGUGAGAUGAGGAUGGUCAAGAAGAAGGAGAUAUUUUUCAAACUUUGACUGUGUUAUCGUUAUAAAACUGUUUCUAGUGGAAUUUUA